rnacentral:tRNA from 1 species
UCCCUGGUGGCUCAGUGGCAAAGGAUCUGUCUGCAGUGCAGAAGACCCGGGUUUGAUCCCUGGGUUGGGAA